rnacentral:rRNA from 1 species
AACGAACGCUGGCGGCAGGCUUAACACAUGCAAGUCGAGCGCAGGAAACUGACGGAACUCUUCGGAGGGAAGGCAGUGGAAUGAGCGGCGGACGGGUGAGUAACACGUAAGGAACCUGCCUCAAGGAUUGGGAUAACUCCGAGAAAUCGGAGCUAAUACCGGAUAGUUCAACGGACCGCAUGGUCCGCUGAUGAAAGGCGCUUCGGCGUCACCUUGAGAUGGCCUUGCGGUGCAUUAGCUAGUUGGUGGGGUAACGGCCCACCAAGGCGACGAUGCAUAGCCGACCUGGGAGGGUGAUCGGCCACACUGGGACUGAGACACGGCCCAGAAUCCUACGGGAGGCAGCAGUAGGGAAUCUUCCACAAUGGACGAAAGUCUGAUGGAGCAACGCCGCGUGAGUGAUGAAGGUUUUCGGAUCGUAAAACUCUGUUGUAAGGGAAGAACACGUACGAGAGGAAAUGCUCGUACCUUGACGGUACCUUACGAGAAAGCCACGGCUAACUACGUGCCAGCAGCCGCCGUAAGAC